UCAAUGGCGGACAUUCGUCAGCAGCAGCCGCUAUCCCACCAGGUGGUCAAGGCGGCCACCGCGGUGACGGCUGGUGGGUCGCUUCUGGUUCUUUCGGGCCUGAUCCUAGCUGGGACUGUGAUUGCACUAGCUCUGGCCACGCCUUUGCUGGUGAUUUUCAGCCCGGUGCUGGUCCCCGCGGGGAUCACGGUGUUUCUGCUGGUCACCGGGUUCCUGUCUUCGGGAGGGUUUGGGGUGGCAGCGUUGAGCGUGCUGUCCUGGAUUUACAGGUACGUGACGGGGAAGAACCCGCCGGGAGCGGACCAGCUGGACCGGGCAAGGCAAAAGCUGGCUCUUAAGGCUAGGGAGAUGAAGGACAGGGCUGAGCAGUAUGGGCAGCAGAACAUACCUGCCGGUUCCCAGCAGCACUAGAUUUGAUAAUUUAAGCCAAUGAUCAGCUCCAAUUCCAGUGGUGUGGAUAGGUGGAAUUGUCAUGUAGCUGGCUAGUUUUAUC
rnacentral:lncRNA from 1 species